rnacentral:rRNA from 1 species
GAUUCCUACGGGGGGCAGCAGUCGGGAAUAUUGCGCAAUGGAGGAAACUCUGACGCAGUGACGCCGCGUAUAGGAAGAAGGUUUUCGGAUUGUAAACUAUUGUCGUUAGGGAAGAUAAAAGACAGUACCUAAGGAGGAAGCUCCGGCUAACUACGUGCCAGCAGCCGCGGUAAUACGGAGGAUGCGAGCGUUAUCCGGAUUUAUUGGGUUUAAAGGGUGCGCAGGCGGAAGAUCAAGUCAGCGGUAAAAUUGAGAGGCUCAACCUCUUCGAGCCGUUGAAACUGGUUUUCUUGAGUGAGCGAGAA